rnacentral:rRNA from 1 species
UGCGUAGGUGGUAUGGCAAGUCAGAAGUGAAAACCCAGGGCUUAACUCUGGGACUGCUUUUGAAACUGUCAGACUGGAGUGCAGGAGAGGUAAGCGGAAUUCCUAGUGUAGCGGUGAAAUGCGUAGAUAUUAGGAGGAACAUCAGUGGCGAAGGCGGCUUACUGGACUGAAACUGACACUGAGGCACGAAAGCGUGGGGGAGCAAACA